rnacentral:rRNA from 1 species
UACGGAGGAUGCGAGCGUUAUCCGGAUUUAUUGGGUUUAAAGGGUGCGUAGGCGGAUUUUUAAGUCAGCGGUAAAAUGUCCGGGCUCAACCCGGGCCGGCCGUUGAAACUGGGGAUCUUGAGUGGGCGAGAAGUAUGCGGAAUGCGUGGUGUAGCGGUGAAAUGCAUAGAUAUCACGCAGAACUCCGAUUGCGAAGGCAGCAUACCGGCGCCCGACUGACGCUGAGGCACGAGAGCGUGGGGAUCGAACAGG